CUCUCUGUGUAUGCAUGCGUGUGUGCGCUCAUUUGUAAGCCAUGGCAAAUUUCACAAUUAAUAACAAGUUAAUACUCUCACUAUUCAUCUUUGUUCAGUUCAUCAUCAUCAUCAGUACUCCAGGAUCCAAUGCUGAGCUGAUGCCAGUUGAGACAUCAACCAAAACAUUAGUGCCCAUAGGCCCAAUUUUUGGAAUUGGAUUUCCAGGCUUUCCUGAUGCAAGUGCUGGAAAGGUUUGUUUAAAAUGCACUUGUUGCGCAGAUCCUUCUAAAAGGGAAGGUUGCAUCUCUCAGCAAUGCUGCUAUAGCGAGAGAUGCGACAUUCCCCAAAAGCCUCCUGGAUAUUGUGCUUUUUCACCCAUUAAAUGUAACUGUGACUCUUGCUCUUCUACCUAACUCUAUCCUUUCCAUCUUUACUUUCCAUACUUCUGUCUAAGCCAAACUAGCCUCCUAACUAGAUAAAUAAAAAUAAGAGAUUCUCCCUUAUGCAUUUAUUUUGCUAUAUAUGUGCCAACACAGAAAAACCAACCUUUUCACAGACUUGUACAAGUUUUUCAGUGUUUACACACUUCACCUAUCUGUUAUUACCGAAGUGAUAUAGAUAUGUAUAGAGUGUAAACAUAAUUACUUGAACAGUUGGUCGUGGAGCUGUUGCUAAAUAUUAUCAGUCCCUCUUAUACUUGUACUGUUAUUAAUUUCUAAAUUAAUGAAGAUGAAUCUCUUUUGUCUAGCGUU